rnacentral:rRNA from 1 species
GACGUAGGAUGCAAGCGUUGUCCGGAAUUAUUGGGCGUAAAGAGUUCGUAGGCGGUUUGUUAAGUCUGGUGUUAAAUACCGAAGCUCAACUUCGGCAUGGCAUCGGAUACUGGCAGGCUAGAGUGCGGUAGAGGUCUCGGGAAUUCCAGGUGUAGCGGUGAAAUGCGUAGAUAUCUGGAGGAACACCGGUGGCGAAAGCGCGAGACUGGGCCGUAACUGACGCUGAGGAACGAAAGCCAGGGGAGCAAAAGGG